rnacentral:tRNA from 1 species
GCCGAGGUGGUGAAAUUGGCAGACACGCUAGAUUUAGGAUCUAGUGCCUGAAAAGGCUUGCGAGUUCAAAUCUCGCCCUCGGUA